rnacentral:rRNA from 1 species
UACGAAGGGGGCUAGCGUUGCUCGGAAUUACUGGGCGUAAAGCGCACGUAGGCGGAUUGUUAAAUCGGGGGUGAAAUCCUGGAGCUCAACUCCAGAACUGCCUUCGAUACUGGCGAUCUCGAGUUCGGGAGAGGUGAGUGGAACUGCGAGUGUAGAGGUGAAAUUCGUAGAUAUUCGCAAGAACACCAGUGGCGAAGGCGGCUCACUGGCCCGAUACUGACGCUGAGGUGCGAAAGCGUGGGGAGCAAACAGG